rnacentral:rRNA from 1 species
GAUGAACGCUGGCGGCGUGCCUAAUACAUGCAAGUCGAGCGAACAGACGAGGAGCUUGCUCCUCUGACGUUAGCGGCGGACGGGUGAGUAACACGUGGAUAACCUACCUAUAAGACUGGGAUAACUUCGGGAAACCGGAGCUAAUACCGGAUAAUAUAUUGAACCGCAUGGUUCAAUAGUGAAAUUCGGUUUUGCUGUCACUUAUAGAUGGAUCCGCGCCGCAUUAGCUAGUUGGUAAGGUAACGGCUUACCAAGGCAACGAUGCGUAGCCGACCUGUGAGGGUGAUCGGUCACACAGGAACUGAGGCUCGGUCCAGUCUCCUACGGGAGGCAGCAGAAGGGAUUCUUCCGAAAUGUGGGGCAGCCUGACAGAGCAUCGCCGCGUGAGUGAUGAAGCUGUUCGGUUCGUAAAACUCUGUUAGUGGGGAUGAACAAAUGUGUAAGUAACUAUGCACGUCUUGACGGUACCUUAUCAGAAAGCCACGGCAAACUACGUG